AUUUAGCUGACAAGUUCCAAAUAGAACGAAACAUGCAUCCUGAAU
rnacentral:hammerhead_ribozyme from 1 species